rnacentral:rRNA from 1 species
UACGGGGGGGGCAAGCGUUGUUCGGAAUUACUGGGCGUAAAGGGCUCGUAGGUGGCCAACUCAGUCGGACGUGAAAUCCCUCGGCUUAACCGGGGAACUGCGUCCGAUACUGGAUGGCUCGAGAUCGGGAGAGGGAUGCGGAAUUCCAGGUGUAGCGGUGAAAUGCGUAGAUAUCUGGAGGAACACCGGUGGCGAAGGCGGCAUCCUGGACCGACACUGACACUGAGGAGCGAAAGCCAGGGGAGCAAACGGG